rnacentral:miRNA from 1 species
UUUUUAGUAUAUGUAUCCCAUGUAAUAUUUGGGACAAACUUCUACUAAAA